AGAUUGAACGCUGGCGGCAGGCCUAACACAUGCAAGUCGAGCGGCAGCACGGGUACUUGUACCUGGUGGCGAGCGGCGGACGGGUGAGUAAUGCCUAGGAAUCUGCCUGGUAGUGGGGGAUAACGCUCGGAAACGGACGCUAAUACCGCAUACGUCCUACGGGAGAAAGCGAGGGGACCUUCGGGCCUUGCGCUAUCAGAUGAGCCUAGGUCGGAUUAGCUAGUUGGUGAGGUAAUGGCUCACCAAGGCGACGAUCCGUAACUGGUCUGAGAGGAUGAUCAGUCAACACUGGAACUGAGACACGGUCCAGACCUCCGUAGGGAGCAGCGAGUGGGGAAUAUUGGACAAGUGGGACGAAAGCUGAUCCAGCCAUCGCGCGUGUGUAGAAGAGUCGUACGUAGUUAGUAAAGUCGUAACGUUUAAGUUAGGGAGG
rnacentral:rRNA from 1 species